AUAAAUGUAAGAUUAACUUACAAAUAGUACUUGCAGCUUAAUGAUGUUUUAUUACUUUUAUUAGAGAGUC
rnacentral:tRNA from 1 species